GGCCCGGUGGUCAAGCGGUUAAGACACCGCCCUUUCACGGCGGUAUCACGGGUUCGAUUCCCGUCCGGGUCA
rnacentral:tRNA from 2 species